UACGGGGGGGGGCAAGCGUUGUUCGGAAUUACUGGGCGUAAAGGGCGUGUAGGCGGCCAACUAAGUCCGACGUGAAAUCCCCAGGCUUAACCUGGGAACUGCGUCGGAUACUGGAUGGCUUGAAUCCGGGAGAGGGAUGCAGAAUUCCAGGUGUAGCGGUGAAAUGCGUAGAUAUCUGGAGGAAUACCGGUGGCGAAGGCGGCAUCCUGGACCGGCAUUGACGCUGAAGCGCGAAAGCUAGGGGAGCAAACGGG
rnacentral:rRNA from 1 species